GAUGAAGAACGCAGCGAAAUGCGAUAAGUAAUGUGAAUUGCAGAAUUCAGUGAAUCAUCGAAUCUUUGAACGCACAUUGCGCCCGCCAGUAUUCUGGCGGGCAUGCCUGUCCGAGCGUCAUUUCAACCAUCAAGCCCCGGGCUUGUGUUGGGGACCUGCGUCCGACGCAGGCCCUGAAAACCAGUGGCGGGCUCGCUGUCCACACCGAGCGUAGUAACUAACCUCGCUAUGGAGUGGCGCGGGCGCCUGCCGUAAAACCCCCAAUUUCACAAGGUUGACCUCGGAUCAGGUAGGAAUACCCGCUGAACUUAAGCAUAUCGAUAAGCGGAGGA
rnacentral:misc_RNA from 1 species